rnacentral:rRNA from 1 species
ACGGAAGGCAGCAGUGGGGAAUAUUGCACAAUGGGGGAAACCCUGAUGCAGCAACGCCGCGUGAGUGAAGAAGUAUUUCGGUAUGUAAAGCUCUAUCAGCAGGGAAGAUAAUGACGGUACCUGACUAAGAAGCACCGGCUAAAUACGUGCCAGCAGCCGCGGUAAUACGUAUGGUGCAAGCGUUAUCCGGAUUUACUGGGUGUAAAGGGUGCGUAGGUGGCAUGGUAAGUCAGAUGAGAAAUACCGGGGCUCAACCCCGGGGCUGCAUUUGAAACUGCCAGGCUGGAGUACAGGAGAGGCAAGCGGAAUUCCUAGUGUAGCGGUGAAAUGCGUAGAUAUUAGGAGGAACACCAGUGGCGAAGGCGGCUUGCUAGACUGUUACUGACACUGAGGCACGAAAGCGUGGGGAGCAAACAGGAUUAGAUACCCUGGUA